AAAUGACUCCCGGCAACGGAUAUCUCGGCUCUCGCAUCGAUGAAGAACGUAGCGAAAUGCGAUACUUGGUGUGAAUUGCAGAAUCCCGUGAACCAUCGAGUCUUUGAACGCAAGUUGCGCCCCAAGCCUUUGGGCCGAGGGCACGUCUGCCUGGGUGUCACGCAUUGUAGCCCCCCACCCUCGUGGUAAUGUCUGUGAGGGCUGUGUGCGGCUGAUACUGGCCUUCCCGUAUGCACAGCAAUGCGGUUGGCCCAAAUGGAGGAACCCAGGGCGGUGUAUGCCAUGAUGAGCGGUGGUGUGUGCUUAGCCUGCCGUCGUUAGAGCAUCAUGUGCAUCAUGCCCUUGAGGUGUGUUUCGUGGACAACCCCGACGCAAUCAUAGCGCGCAUCGCGACCCCAGGUCAGGCGGGAGCACCCGCUGAGUUUAAGCAUAUCAAUAAGCGGAGGAAAAGAAACUUACCAGGAUUCCCCUAGUAACGGCGAGCGAACCGGGAACAGCCC
rnacentral:rRNA from 2 species